GAUGAAGAACGUAGCGAAUUGCGAUAUGUAAUGUGAAUUGCAGAAUUCAGUGAAUCAUCGAAUCUUUGAACGCACAUUGCGCCCCUUGGUAUUCCGAGGGGCAUGCCUGUUCGAGCGUCAUUAUAACCCCUCAAGCUCAGCUUGGUGUUGGGGCCUGCUGCACUGGCAGCCCUUAAAAUCAGUGGCGGCGCCAUCUGGCUCUAAGCGUAGUAAUUCUUCUCGCUAUGGAGUCCUGGUGGAUGCUUGCCAUCAACCCCCAAUUUUUCUAUGGUUGACCUCGGAUCAGGUAGGGAUACCCGCUGAACUUAAGCAUAUCAAUAAGCGGAGGA
rnacentral:misc_RNA from 1 species